CGUGGUUUCACCAUGUUAGCCAGGAUCGCCUCGAUUUCUUUCUAUGUCCUAUAGCAGUUUGAAAUUACUUAAAAGUUGUUUCAAAUUGAACAAAUAAAAAUAAUGUGCAUAAAAUAUAAAUAGUUUAAAAAAUUACAAGACAUUACAAAAUACGUAUGUAAAUCUGGAGUUGUCAAAAAUGACAAAUUUGAUUUAUAUAUAAGGUUUUAUUAAAAUUAGCUUUAAUGGAUACUACACUAUUACCAAAGUAAAAGUUGAUUUUCUCUUGAACAAAAAUUUGUUGUAUUAUUAAUAUGACAGCAAAAUACUUCUGUUCACCUUUUGAAUACAUUCAACAGGAGAGAGUAAAAAAGAAAUAGAAUUUUCCCAUGCUCUGGGAUGUAAGAAUUAUCCAAUCAGGGACACUGUGCUGGAAACCGUCCAAUCAGGCACACAGCUGUAGCGAACAGCACGGCUUCCGGGUUUGGCGGGGCCUUUGUGUCUCUCUGCAGCCUGAGCUCCAGGUCUCUUCUUCACUGCUCUGUGUCCUCUGCCCCUAGAGGCCCAGCCUCUGUGGCCCUGUGUCCUGUAGGUAUUAGGAGAUCCACAGCUAGGACGCCGGGAUCCCGGAAGCCCGGAAAUGGUAUUGUUGUCUCCAAGCCAGACCUGAUCAUCUGUCUGGAGCAAGGAAAAAUCCUUUGAGUAUGAGGAGACAUGAGAUGAUUGCCAAACACCCAGGUGGGUGCAAGUGAAAGUGAAUACAACAGACGACACAGGGAAUAACCUAUCUACUAAUGGUCAGCACCUGUGUCUUUGUGUCUGAGGCCAAGAAUAAAUUCAUCAACUUUUUAGCCACCGCUGCAACAGAAGCCAACCACAAUCAAUGUUGGCUAUACGUCGAGUUGCAGGAGGAUGCCAAAAAUGGCUACCUUGGAGAAUCAUCCCUGACAACAUUUCUGAAUGGCUAUAUUGUUACCAAUGGGCCACAACAACAACACUUGCAAUCCAACCUGGGCUUCCUUUGACCACACUAAGCGAUCUAUCUUUGCCAAGUCAGACAAAAGGUCUGUCUUCUGUAGGGCUGCUGCAGUUUGCUGGGGGUUCACUUCAGGCCCUAUUCAUCCGGUUCACUCCCGUGCCUGGAGAUGUCACUCAAGGAGGUUGGAGAACAGCAAAGAAGAGUCUGCUCCUUCCUCUGUGAUCUCUGACCUCAAGAGGCACCAACCUGAUGCCAGUAGGAUCACUCCUGUAUAGGGUGUCUGACAACCCCUGUUGAAGUGUCACCAGUUGGGUGGCAUGGGGAGCAGAACCCAUUUAAUGAAGCACUUUGACUGUUCCUUGGUGGAGGGGGGUGUUUUGCUGGGGGGAAACCCACUCAUCUGGGCUGCUCGAAUUCCUCAGAACUAGCAGGAGGAAAGGCUAAGUCUGCUGGUCCACAGAGACUGCAGCCUCCCCUCCCCCUAGGGGCUCAGGCCCAGGGAGAUCAGAGUUAUGUCCCUGAGCCCCUGGCUGGAGAUGUUGGAGUUCCUGCAGGGAGGCCCUGACCAGUGAGGAGAGAUGGGUCAGGGUCAGGCCUGAAGAGACAUUCUGGCCACAGUCUGCCACAGCCCAUGUGUUGGGCUGUGGGGGACACCUCUUGAGACCAAGCUGUCCAGUUUUCCUGGAUCUAGCAGAGGAAAAGUGAGGCCAGGAGCUAUAGAGAUGGCUGCUUCCCUUUCCCCAUCCAGGGACCUUAGCCUGUUAGGCAGUUUCGAGUCCCAGUGCUGGCUGCUGUCCCUCCCUCAAGGAGCUCAAACAGCUUAGACAGCAGCCAACUGCAACGGUGGUGCUGGUCUCCCCCACCGUGGGAACUCGGCAGGCUUAAGCAGAUUCUACCUGACAGGCUGUUCAUAAUCUGCUCAGCUCCAGGGCUGUGUCAGGCAUAAUAAGUUCCUCUUCAAAGGGUAACUUCCUUGUUGUUUGUUCUCAAAAUCAACUUCCUUAUACCUUCCCGCUCCUAGCUACCUGCUAUGUAAACAUCUCUUCUCCCCAGUCGCAAUCCGUAAUCCACAUCUCUUCCUUAUUUGGAAGAAGUCCUCCUCACUCCUAGUUACCUGCUCUGUAAACAACCUUCCUGCCAGUCUCGAUUUAAAAUAGCCGUCGAGUUAGCUCCAGCCAAUGGGGGCAGCACGCAGAAGUAGGGACUGUGUUAGGGAUAAAAACUCCUUCCCUCCCUUGUAUGCUGUGCUCUCACAACAGCCAGAGACAUGACUGGCACCCUUCUGCAG
rnacentral:lncRNA from 10 species